AUUGAAUGCUGGCGGCAGGCCUAACACAUGCAAGUCGAGCGGAUGAAGGGAGCUUGCUCCUGGAUUCAGCGGCGGACGGGUGAGUAAUGCCUAGGAAUCUGCCCGGUAGUGGGGGAUAACGUCCGGAAACGGGCGCUAAUACCGCAUACGUCCUGAGGGAGAAAGUGGGGGAUCUUCGGACCUCACGCUAUCAGAUGAGCCUAGGUCGGAUUAGCUAGUUGGUGGGGUAAAGGCCUACCAAGGCGACGAUCCGUAACUGGUCUGAGAGGAUGAUCAGUCACACUGGAACUGAGACACGGUCCAGACUCCUACGGGAGGCAGCAGUGGGGAAUAUUGGACAAUGGGCGAAAGCCUGAUCCAGCCAUGCCGCGUGUGUGAAGAAGGUCUUCGGAUUGUAAAGCACUUUAAGUUGGGAGGAAGGGCAGUAAGUUAAUACCUUGCUGUUUUGACGUUACCAACAGAAUAAGCACCGGCUAACUUCGUG
rnacentral:rRNA from 1 species